ensembl:lincRNA
CGAACGCACCUAUUAUCUGCGUUCAAAAAACACAUGAUUGCGGUUGAAAGAACACGCGACACGUAUGGACCAAUAACAAUCGGUGGUAACCAAAUCAAGCCAAUCAGCUUCGAGUAUCACAAUACGUCAUCAAACUGGAAACGAGUAAAGAAACGCACCUGUCGAAGAAAUAAACAUUUCAUCGCGCCGUCUUCCCUGAGGAGGAGUUUGUGCCAUAUAGGCAGGUCCAGUGAUGUAGAACCCAGCAGCUAUCGGUCACAAGAAAGCCUUGGCAGUGUCAUUCUGUAAGCGUGGACGCCUGAGAACGUGUUUUCAUCAACUCAACCCCUGACACCAUCAAGAUCCUUCUCGGUAUCGACAAAGAAGACAGAAAGUCAAGCUCCAAGGAACUCCGCGAGGUCAUUCACUGCCUGGAUUCGACCACAGACUUAGGCUCUCGUCUUCGUCCUGUGCGUUCUCCAUCUGUGAGUCAUUCUCAAGAGCGUUCAGUCAUCUCCAGCACGGCCCAAAGCGCUGUCGGCAGUUGAGAGAGGAGAGAGAGAUGAGAGGAAGCAAUGAGACGGAAGAAAGAACGGCAGAAUGAAAAUUUGAAGACUCGAGCUGUUCUCUUGCUCAAAUCUGAUUGGCAGAUUGCAUUCAUCCUGAUGUGCUGCUCGUCCGUGGAGAGAGCUGAUGGCGUGCUGAUGAAUGGCUGAGGAGAGAGAGGGCGUCGCUCCCGAACGGACUCGCUGACAUCCUGCAUUAACCAAUCAAUAACCAGACACACGGGACCGAGCGGGGGGAGUCCUGCUCGCCCAAUCAUUUGCAUGCGCCCGACUGCUAUAAAGGAGACUGAAAGGAGAAAGAAAGCAGUGUGAGAGCGGGCGAGAGCAGAAUGCUGUCGUAGGCGUUAAAAGAGCGAGAGAGAAGGGAAAGAAAGGAGAGACAAGCCGCAAGGGCAGCGGUUAUUUUAUCACAGCAGUUCUUCAUUUUCACAGCGGUUCAGCACAGCCAGAGGCACCGAAACCCAAUCUAACACAAACACACGCACAUUUAUCUCGCUGUCUACAUGGAGACUGCCCAUUGACUUCUAUUGUUUUUUACAUUUAAGCUAAUUAGAAUUUAGACUAACAAUGCCCUAAAUACACACAUUUCAGCAUAUUUAGAAAUGCCUGCAUAUUUUUUGUCUUAUUAUUAUCAUUUUAAAGAUGCCCCACAGGAGCCCUUUGGCAAUGAUUUGAGGACUAGUAUUGUGGUGUUAUUUGGAAUGCCAUAAUAUAAGAAUAUGACAGUCAUUAUAGCAUGGUAUUCAAAAUACUUUAGUAAUACUGCUCGAAAAAUAAAGGGAACACUAAAAUAACACAUCCUAUAUCUGAAUGAAUGAAAUAUUCUUAUUAAAUACUUUGUUCUUUACAUUAAAAGUGCUGACAACAAAAAAACACAAACAUUAUCAAUGGAAAUCAAAUUUAUUAACCUAUGGAGGUCAUGGAGAAUUGGAGUCACACUCAAAAUUGACGUGAAAAAACGCACUACAGGCUGAUAAUGUCCUUAAAGCACGUCUAAAUGAGUGCCUCCACAUGCCUGUAUGACCUCCCUACAAUGCCUGGGCAUGCCCCUUAAUGAGGUGGCAAACUCCUGGACAGUCUGUGAUGCAACUUGGCAUUGGUGGAGGGAGCGAGAUAUGAUGUCCCAGAUGUGCUCAAUUGGAUUCAGACCUGGGGAAUGGGCAGGUCAGUCUCUAGCAUCAACGCCUUCGUCUUGCAGCAACUGCUGACACACUUUAGCCACAUGAGGUCUAGCAGUGUCUUGUCUUGACCUAAGCGUCGAGUGAUCAGGAUAACCCAUGACGCAUACAAUGCGCGUAGCCAUGCAUUUAUACUUCCUCGUGCUCUUUCUGUUGCUGUGCAAUAACACUUUCCAAACGCUAGUUGGCAGUAGGUGUUUAUGUUCCUCUGCGUCAAGUUUCUUCACUGGUGCUUUGUUUUAUCUGAGCACUACCUUAAUGUAGAAGUGGCUCAAACUCGCUCAUUUUGAGGCGGGAAUCGGCGGACGUGUAACAACUUUAAUCAUAAAGUAAACACUAAACAACAGUUUCAUCUGAAGCUUCUUCGCGAGACUCCACACUUGUAAACACUCGCUCUACUGGGCUGAGCCCCGCCCACACUCUUCAGCUCUACCAAGCCAACCAAUUACAGAGCUUGCGCUAUGCAUCAUUGUGACGUGUAGUUAAAUUUUUUGAGAGGUACGCUUCAGCAUCACCUACGGCCACGGCGGGGGCUAUGCAACCACGCGUAGGCUACGCCAGAGCAUACAUGCUUGAUGCAGAAAUAUAAAUCAGGCUUUAGGAGGAACCCAGGGCCAACCACACUGGCAUAUGGUCUUACAAGGGGUCUGAAGAUCUCCUCUCGGUACCUAAUGGCAGUCAGUUGUAUGGAAUUUCACAGAAUAGUCAUAGCAAUAGCAAUCCCAUGGUAAUUUCUAAACUAGUGUGUGGUGAGAAGACUUUCAUGUGGUGCCAUGGUAUUUUUGUAUUUACUUUUGUAUUUACUUAACUGCUUGAAAACCUUGGCAGUGUUAUAUGGUAAAGAUAUAGCAAUAUUGAAUUGGUUGAUUGUACCAUGGUAUACACUACCUAGUGUGGUAUGUUUGUGUGUAUACGUGUUUAGAAUUGAUGACGAUAAAUACUGAUGUAUUACAUUGUAGAUUCUGUUGGAUAUGUCUUGCUAUAACCAUAACAUUUAACUGGUAAAAUUUCAAUGAAUAGCAAAGUAUUAGCUCCCCGUGUUUGCGUGGGUUUCCUCCGGGUGCUCUGGUUUCCCCAACAGUCCAAAGACAUAUGGGAUAGGUGAAUUGGGUUGGCUAUAUUGUCCGUAGUGUAUGUGUGUAAAUGAGUGUGUAUGGGUGUUUCCCAGUUGCAGCUAGAAGGGCAUCCGCUGUGUCGACCCCAGAUUAAUGAAUAAAAAAGUAUUAGCAUGGUAACACUCUUAUAGAGCAUUCACUCUCAUAGGAAACACCUGGGAGAGUAACUGGGGGUUAUUACAAAACAUUUGAAGCAUUAUAACUUAAUUUAAAAUAUCUACCGAAUACAGGGUUAAAACCAUGGAAGAACUGUGGUAUAACCUUGUGAAAAUAAAACAUAGCACCACAGUAUUUCUGUUGUGAGACAAGAAUAUGAACACAAUAACGCGGGAAGUUUCUCGACAUCGCAUAGAUUCAUCUGUUUAUAUAGCAGUCUGCGAGCUCUCAGCGUGCGCGCCCUCGCAACAAGGACGUCUAGAAAGGUCAGUUCUGCAGCAUUAGAGCGCGGCGGGGUGUGUGUUUGUGUGUGUCCGCGAGCAAGGACGAUCCCAUUCAUCUCUGCUCCGCGCCGCUAAUGCUGCUGAUGAGAGAAACCCAACCUCAUAAACAAGGUAAAGGGGAAAAAAACUCAGGGGAGCUAAAGCACGGGCAUCGGGCGAGUGUGUGCGCGCGCGAACGCGCGGCGGUAAUGAGUGUGCGUGUGGCGGCAAUCAGAGUGUGCUGUGGAGUAUUCCCCCGCUCGCCGAGCUAAAGGGGUAAUCAAAAUUUAAUUACGCAGAAAAUGAAGGGCAAAACCCCACGAUCCAGGACCACACAAGCGACCGCUGAUUGGUGGAUGACAGAUACACGUUUGAGAGAGAGAGAGAGAGAGAGAGAGAGAGAGAGAGAAGGCGGGAAAUUAAUUCAAGGAUAGCAACUGCCGUACUUCUUUCUCGUCUCUAAAUGAUGGUCCACAGGAUGUUCCUUAGAUAAAAUGGAUUGUUCUUCAUAAAAGACAGCUAUCAUAUGGUUUGAGGCACUAGCAAGGACAGACAUUUCAAAGUAAGUUCUUGGCACUUUGGUGAAAUGGGGUGGAUUCAGUGCCGAAUUAAACAUUGUUCAUGUUCUGUUGUAAAUAUGUACCAAAAAAUAAAUAAAUAAAAAUAAAGAUAAGUUUUAAAUAUGACAGUGUGAAAGCUAAGCUAACAGGGCUAAAUGUACAAUUGACUUUUUUGGUCUAUCAAAGGAACCAAACUACAAAUGUGAAGACUUCUCUGGGCCAGUUACUUAAUAGUUUCUUCAUCACUUUUUACAAGAUCUCAAAAUAAGUUCCCACAUUUAGGCUACAUUCCUGUCAGGAGAAUUGUAGCAUUUAGAUAUGUCCAAAAAUACUCAAUCUGUAGCAUUUCUCAACUAAUAUAGCAGGUUCAGGUAAAAAUGAUAGGAAAUUUAUUUCUCAGCGAUCAUUCAUUUUCAUUUUGGCUUAGUCCCUAUAUGCCUAUCCAGCAUAUGUUUUACGCAGCGGAUGCCUUUUCCAGCUGCAACCCAUUACUGGAAAACACACUCAUUCACAAACACAGUCACUACAGACAAUUUAGCUUACCCACUUUACCUAUAUCGCAUGUCUUUAGACUUGGGGGAAACCGGAGCACCCAGAAGAAACCAACGGCAAAACGUGGAAACACCCCACAGAAACACCAACUGACCCAGCCGGGGCUCAAACCAGCGACCUUCAUGCUGUGAGGUGAUUAUUCUACCCACUGCGCCACUGUGAAGCUAUAUAAAUACAAUUUUACCAGAUUACUUAAAUAUCUCUAUUUGCAAAGUCAUUACUUUAGAUUGACUGGGAUGAUUUUGUAAAGGAGUAAAAUAUAAAUAUAUUUUUUAAUGUAAUUUAUUAUACAUAUAAGAUACUAUGAUUGUAAAUAAACACAAUGGAGCAAACAUUAAA